AGAGUUUGAUCCUGGCUCAGGAUGAACGCUGGCGGUAUGCUUAACACAUGCAAGUCGUACGGGAAAAUACAUUUUCCUAGUGGCGGACGGGUGCGUAACACGUAANAACCUACCUUUUGGAGGGGGAUAACAUCGGGAAACUGAUGCUAAUACCCCGUAAGCUGAGGAGUGAAAGCGGUUUUCCGCGCCAAGAGAGGGGCUUGCGGCUGAUUANCUAGUUGGUGGGGGUAACGGCCUCCCAAGGCCACGAUCAGUAGCUGGUUUGAGAGGACGAUCAGCCACACUGGGACUGAGACACGGCCCANACUCCUACGGGAGGCAGCGGUGAGGAAUUUUCCACAAUGGGCGAAAGCCUGAUGGAGCAAUACCGCGUGGAGGAANAAGGUUCGUGGAUCGUAAACUCCUUUUCUCANAGAANAANAUCUGACGGUAUCUGAGGAAUAAGCUCCGGCUAACUUUGUGCCAGCAGCCGCGGUAAUACAAGGGGAGCAAGCGUUAUCCGGAAUGAUUGGGCGUAAAGCGUCUGUAGGUGGUUCUUUAAGUCUACUGUCAAAUACGUUGGCUCAACCAACGGCAGGCAGUGGAGUACUAAAGAACUAGAGUGCGGUAGAGGUAGAGGGAAUCCCUAGCGUAACAGUGAAAUGUGUANAUUUUAGGGGGAACACCAGCGGCGAAGGCGCUCUACUGGGCCGAUACUGACACUGANAGACGAAAGCUAGAGGAGCGAAUAGGAUUAGAUACCCUAGUAGUUCUAGCUGUAACGAUGGAAACUAAAAGGGGGUANCCCCCUUCUGUAGCUAACGCGUUAANUUNCCNCCUGGGGAGUAU
rnacentral:rRNA from 1 species